rnacentral:rRNA from 1 species
AGGACGAACGCUGGCGGCGUGCUUAACACAUGCAAGUCGAGCGACGCUCCUCCUUCGGGAGGAUGACGGAGCGGCGAACGGGUGAGUAACACGUGGGCAACCUGCCCCUAGCUCUGGGAUAACCCCGGGAAAUCGGGACUAAUACCGGAUAUGAAGUCGGACGGCAUCGUCUGACUUGGAAAGUUUUUCGGCUAGGGAUGGGCCCGCGGCCUAUCAGCUUGUUGGUGGGGUAAUGGCCUACCAAGGCGACGACGGGUAGCCGGCCUGAGAGGGCGACCGGCCACACUGGGACUGAGACACGGCCCAGACUCCUACGGGAGGCAGCAGUGGGGAAUAUUGCACAAUGGGCGAAAGCCUGAUGCAGCGACGCCGCGUGAGGGAUGACUGCCUUCGGGUUGUAAACCUCUUUCAGCAGGGACGAAGCGAAAGUGACGGUACCUGCAGAAGAGCACCGGCCAACUACGUGCCAGCAGCCGCGGUAA